ensembl:snoRNA SNORA72 Small nucleolar RNA SNORA72
CUGUGAAUAUUUUCAUAGUUCGUCUUCAGUAUAAAUCGGUCAGGCUAAGCACUCAUGAUGGUAUAUGCAGACAGAUGUUCCCAGGACUAGUUCUUUCCCCAGAUCCGUUUUAUAAUUGUUGCUGAUAAGC